GAAUCUAGCUCUAGGUCGGGGACAACCACUGGAAACGGUGGCUAAUACCGGAUGUGCCGGAAGGUGAAAGGCUUGCUGCCUAGAGAUGAGCUCGCGUCUGAUUAGCUAGUAGGUGUGGUAAGAGCGCACCUAGGCGACGAUCAGUAGCUGGUCUGAGAGGAUGAUCAGCCACACUGGGACUGAGACACGGCCCAGACUCCUACGGGAGGCAGCAGUGGGGAAUUUUCCGCAAUGGGCGAAAGCCUGACGGAGCAAUACCGCGUGAGGGAGGAAGGCUCUUGGGUUGUAAACCUCUUUUCUCAAGGAAGAAAAAAAUGACGGUACUUGAGGAAUAAGCAUCGGCUAACUCCGUGCCAGCAGCCGCGGUAAUACGGAGGAUGCAAGCGUUAUCCGGAAUGAUUGGGCGUAAAGCGUCCGCAGGUGGCUAUGUAAGUCUGCUGUUAAAGAGUGAGGCUCAACCUCAUAAGAGCAGUGGAAACUACAUAGCUAGAGUGCGUUCGGGGCAGAGGGAAUUCCUGGUGUAGCGGUGAAAUGCGUAGAGAUCAGGAAGAACACCGGUGGCGAAAGCGCUCUGCUAGGCCGCAACUGACACUGAGGGACGAAAGCUAGGGGAGCG
rnacentral:rRNA from 1 species